GCGGAACUGCCGGGACCAGCGCUGGCCCGGGCCGGGCGCAUCCCCACCUGGCCUGGGGCGGGCUGGAGGGGCGGAACUGGGACUCUCGGACUCCGGCUACGUUGGAGAAAGGGUUGGCUGUACCCUGGAGAAGAGGAGAGACUCAAAGGUAGGAGGUGGGCGUCCUCGCAUUGACCCAGUCGGGGGCCACCGAGUGACGGUUUCCGCAGUGGCGGGGUCUGGGAAGAAGCCACGAAGC
rnacentral:lncRNA from 1 species